GACGAACGCUGGCGGCGUGCUUAACACAUGCAAGUCGAACGGAAAGGCCCUGCUUUUGUGGGGUGCUCGAGUGGCGAACGGGUGAGUAACACGUGAGUAACCUGCCCUUGACUUUGGGAUACCUUAAGGAAACUGGGGCUAAUACCGGAUAGGAGCUCCUGCUGCAUGGUGGGGGUUGGAAAGUUUCGGCGGUUGGGGAUGGACUCGCGGCUUAUCAGCUUGUUGGUGGGGUAGUGGCUUACCAAGGCUUUGACGGGUAGCCGGCCUGAGAGGGUGACCGGCCACAUUGGGACUGAGAUACGGCCCAGACUCCUACGGGAGGCAGCAGUGGGGAAUAUUGCACAAUGGGCGGAAGCCUGAUGCAGCAACGCCGCGUGCGGGAUGACGGCCUUCGGGUUGUAAACCGCUUUCGCCUGUGACGAAGCGUGAGUGACGGUAAUGGGUAAAGAAGCACCGGCUAACUACGUG
rnacentral:rRNA from 1 species